UACGGAAGGCAGCAGGGGGAAUAUUGCACAAUGGGCGAAAGCCUGAUGCAGCUAUGCCGCGUGUAUGAAGAAGGCCUUAGGGUUGUAAAGUACUUUCAUCGGGGAGGAAAAAACAAAACUAAUAAUUUUAUUUCUUGACGUUACCCGAAAAAGAAGCACCGGCUAACUCCGUGCCAGCAGCCGCGGUAAUACGGAGGGUGCUAGCGUUAAUCAGAAUUACUGGGCGUAAAGAGCACGUAGGUGGUUUUUUUAAAGUCAGAUGUGAAAUCCCUGGGCUUAACCUGGAACUGCAUUUUGAAACUGAAAUACUAGAGUAUCGUAGAGGGAGGUAGAAUUCUAGGUGUAGCGGUGAAAUGCGUAGAUAUCUGGAGGAAUACCUGUGGCGAAAGCGGCCUCCUAAACGAAUACUGACACUGAGGUGCGAAAGCGUGGGGAGCAAACAGGGAUUAGAUACC
rnacentral:rRNA from 1 species